UAACCUUUCCUUUCUUGCAAAGCAUAUCGAUCAACACACUAGAUGUAGUCACAUCAGGCUGAAUACCUACAUCCAACAUCUCAUUAAACAAACAUUUAGCCUUCUCCCACUUUCCACUAAGGCAAAAUCCAUGAAUCAAAGUGGUAUAUGAAAUGACAUCUGGCAUUAUCCCCUGAGCUUUCAUUUCCUCGAAAAGUUCUCUUGCCUCAUCUUCCCGCCUAUCCUUACAAAGUCCAUCAAUAAUGAUACUAUAAGAAAUAAGAGUAGGCUUACAUUUAAUCCCAUAUCGACCGGUGUCAUUGAGCAUUUCUUGAUGUAAUUGAAGUGCAGUGUUAAUAUUCCCUGUUUGACAGAGCCCUUUCAUUAAAGUCCCAUAAGCAAUCGCAUCAGGCCUACAACCUAACUUUUGCAUACUCAUAAAUAGCCGUGUAGCUUCACUAAUCCUAUGCUUCAUACACAAGCCCUUAAUCAAGGUACUAUAGGUGACUAUAUCAAGAAUGCAACCCCUCUGAAUCAUCACCUCUAGCAACUCGUUGGCCUCAAUAACCUUUCCUUCCUUGCAAAGUAUAUCAAUCAACAUACUAGACGUAGUCACAUCAGGCCGAAUACCUACAUCCAACAUCUCAUUAAACAAACAUUUAGCCUUCUCCCACUUUCCACUACGACAAAAUCCAUGAAUCAAAGAGGUAUAUGAAAUGACAUCUGGCAUCAUCCCCUGAGCCUUCAUUUCCUUGAAAAGUUCUCUUGCCUCGUCUUCUCGCCUAUCCUUACAAAGUCCAUCAAUAAUUAUACUAUAAGAAAUAAGAGUAGGCUUACAUUUAAUCCCAUAUUGACUGGUGUCAUUGAGCAUUUCUUGAUGUAAAUGAAGUGCAAUGUUAAUCUUUCCUGUUUGACAGAGCCCCUUCAUUAAAGUCCCAUAAGCAAUCGCAUCAGGCCUACAACCUAACUUUUUCAUACUCAUAAAUAGCUGUGUAGCUUCACUAAUCCUAUGCUUCAUACACAAGCCCUUAAUCAAGGUACUAUAGGUUACUAUAUCAAGAAUGCAACCUCUAUGAACCAUCACCUCUAGCAACUCGUUAGCCUCGAUAACCUUUCCUUCCUUGCAAAACAUAUCGAUCAACACACCAGACGUAGUCACAUCAGGCUGAAUACCUACAUCCAGCAUCUCAUUAAACAAACAUUUAGCCUUCUCCCACUUUCCACUAUGGCAAAAUCCAUGAAUCAAAGAGGUAUAUGAAAUGACAUCUGGCAUCAUCCCCUGAGCUUUCAUUUCCUUGAAAAGUUCUCUUGCCUCGUCUUCCCGCCUAUCCUUACAAAGUCCAUCAAUAAUGAUACUAUAAGAAAUUAGAGUAGGCUUACAAUUAAUCCCAUAUCGACCGGUGUCAUUGAGCAUUUCUUGAUGUAAUUGAAGUGCAAUGUUAAUAUUCCCUGUUUGACAGAGCCCCUUCAUUAAAGUCCCAUAAGUAAUCGCAUCAGGCCUACAACCUAACUUUUGCAUACU
rnacentral:lncRNA from 1 species